AUGGGGUUUCCUAAUAACCUGAACGGUGUCUCUUCCCUGCUGGUGGCAUGGCGAUGCUCCCUGGCGGCUCACUCUGACUCUGGUCACCACCCAAAGCAGCCUCAUCUGCAGCAAAAAGAGUCUACUUUUGGUCGGCCGCUGCGCCCAUCCUUAGGCCGACUUCUCACAGAGAACAGAAGGACCUUCCCAGAGCAAAGCUUGCCGUCAGCGUAGAUGAUGAGAAAAUCACAGAGCACCUGUGCCCUAAAUGUUGCAGUGAUAGCCUGGAACUCCUGCAACGUCCCUCGGUUAGCAUUUCAAGCUAUGUCAGGACCUGGAUUGUCUAUGGAUUGUCUGGAUAGCAGCCUUGUGAUCACCGAAUGAAGCUUGGCUGAAGGGUGAACAUGUCUGUGGUGAGGACAGCUUGGGCUUUCAAUGAAUCUUCCUGAUCAUGCACGCCUAUCUCAGUAUUGCUCAUGAACGCUACUGGAUCGUAUUUAUGUUUCUAUUAAAGCCAGAGUAUGAGAGGGGGUCCAGACUACCCCAGGGGUCAGGGUGUAAUUGAUUCAAGAAAAUUGUACGGAGGAAGAAUUUAUGGAGAAACAAAAGUGGAGCUACUUGGCAAAACUGAAACUACUUCUUCACUUGGGAAACUCUGUGGGGUGCUACCUGAAGGAGGAUGUGGUCACCGAUAGCCCAUGCUUUCUGACUGGCACUUGGAAACCUUAGCCUGACCUUACAGCAGCCGUAACCGAUCACCCAACCCUGCACUGGUUAGAGUUCUGGGUCAGACCCUGAGUACAGGUGGGCCUGGACGAAUCGCUCCCCGCUCUGGAGCUCAGCUUUCAUCUGUGGAGUGAUCGGGUUCCAUGAAGGAACUGAGAGGGCUGCUGAAGCGCUCCCACUGUACCCACACACUGACCCCCGUAAGAGGGGGGCCGAG